UAUAAAAGGCCAGCACCAGUCCAUUUUCAGCAUUCCUGCUCAGAGCAGAGAUUGCAAUUGGAGCUCUUUUCCUCUCUGAGAAGCCUCUAGCAAGGACAUCACAGGUGCCAUCAUGCGGGUUUCAAGUCAUCCAGAGCAGGGUGGAAGUGAACUGAACUCUGAUGACGAAUUCCUUGGGCUUCCUUUGCUGACUUCGCCACCUCAGUUUAUCGCCGGACAUUUGGAAGAUUUGGAAGAUGCCCUCCUGUGUCCUGACCUUCCACCUGCCUACCACACUGAUGACAGCGAAGACCACAGCAGUGAGGACAGUGAGGGUGGCCAUUCUGAUGACAGCAAUGACAAGCAUGGCAGCAGGCAUGAUGACAGUGACUAUCACAGCCAGGAUGAUCACACCAAUGAUGUCUACAGCAAAGGCUAUGUCAAACUGCAAGAACAAGGAAUGUGCACAGCUUGCUGUCACCUUUGCAAUAUGCAAACUAAGUGGGAACUCAGCCACAGAAAAGCCACAGAGAGAAGAGGAAAGGCUGUAGAAAUGAAAGCAAAGGAGCUAGAAGUGUACCACGAGUGUGAAGCAAGAUGUCAAUGGAAAGAUCGUGAAGCAUUAUUUUCAGGCUCUGUUUUUCAUGAAGGGGUCACCAUGUCAGUGUCGGGUCUCCCAGAGAGCAGUGGACAGGACACGAGUUCUGAUGAAGGAGGCCUCAUGUCCCCCCAGUUUGUGCCAGGACAAUUGGAAGAUUUGGAAGAUGCCCUUCUGUGUCCCAAGCUCCAACCUGAUGUGGACAUGGAUAUGGAAGAAGAGGGAUUUGCUUUGCUGGAUGCGUGGAGUUAG
rnacentral:lncRNA from 1 species